GUGAAUUAAACAUGCUUGGUGUCUUCGCUUCGGCAAGGCCCUUGCUUAAAUUACAUCCUAACACCUGUGAACUGUAAGACGUAUGAUGAGGUCUUUGGCCAAGUCAUCGUCUGCCCAUUUUUAACAAACAAUUAAUGUAACAAACGUAGUCUUAUUAUAACCUAAUA
rnacentral:misc_RNA from 1 species